UGGGGAAUAUUGCACAAUGGGGGGAACCCGUGAUGCAGCGACGCCGCGUGAGCGAAGAAGUAUUUCGGUAUGUAAAGCUCUAUCAGCAGGGAAGAAAAUGACGGUACCUGACUAAGAAGCCCCGGCUAACUACGUGCC
rnacentral:rRNA from 1 species